AAAGUGUCAACAGUUGGCUGAGAAAUUGCAGCUAACUGAUCGUCAGCUCAAGGCCUGGUUUUCAAACCGUCGUACAAAGGUUAGAAAACUUUCCAUGGCUCAGGAAGAACCCAUAAAUUAGGAUGCGUUUCAAAUCUCCAACAACGCCCGUGGCUAAAAAUGGCCGAGCAUAUAAGAUGCAGGUCAGAAAUCAGUCGGGGCCAUUUGAAACUCCGGUUUGCCUUCAAAUUCAACAAAUACAUACAUAUAUAGUUUUACAUGA